rnacentral:rRNA from 1 species
AACGAACGCUGGCGGCAGGCUUAACACAUGCAAGUCGAACGCAUCGCAAGAUGAGUGGCAGACGGGUGAGGAACACGUGGGAACAUCCCUUUCAGUUCGGAAUAACUCAGGGAAACUUGAGCUAAUACCGGAUACGUCCGUGAGGAGAAAGAUUUAUCGCUGAAAGAUUGGCCCGCGUCUGAUUAGCUAGUUGGUGAGGUAAUGGCUCACCAAGGCUACGAUCAGUAGCUGAUCUGAGAGGAUGAUCAGCCACAUUGGGACUGAGACACGGCCCAAACUCCUACGGGAGGCAGCAGUGGGGAAUAUUGGACAAUGGGCGCAAGCCUGAUCCAGCCAUGCCGCGUGAGUGAUGAAGGCCUUCGGGUUGUAAAGCUCUUUUGUCCGGGAAGAUAAUGACUGUACCGGAAGAAUAAGCCCCGGCAAACUUCGUGCCAGCAGCCGCCGCUG